CAGAUUUAUUUUCUGUUUUCCUGAGUACCUACGGGACAUUCCGGGAUUCUUUAUGCAAAAAAAAAUAAAAAAAAAAUUUUUAUUAAAGCAAUACAAUAACUAAAAGUAGACUACUUAUAAAUAGCCUCCCUGCCAAUAUGGUAAUUAUCCUAUCCAGCAGGAAAUGGUAGUUUGAAAAGGUAAAUACUAACGUCCUUGGUUCCAGUCUUUACACAUGAUGGGCACUGUGCUUUACGAAAAGAGGAGCAUGUAUAUAAUUCAGCCUCUUCUGUCCCAUCAUGUAAAGAGUGUGGUACAUGAAUAGUCUAUGAACACAGAUGGAUGAUAUAACCUUUACAGUGCAUGGAGUAAUUUGUUAUUGCAUUGAAAAGGUUACAAAGACAGGAAGAGCUAACUGAGGUAGGAAUGCAGGUUCAUAAUUUGUCACAGAUAUGCAGGUUCAUAAUUUGUCACAGAUCAUCCUAUCAAUCAGAUGAUUUCCCGACAGCACUGCAGUAGUCU